rnacentral:rRNA from 1 species
UACAGAGGUCUCAAGCGUUGUUCGGAUUCAUUGGGCGUAAAGGGGGCGUAGGCGGCGCGGUAAGUCGGGUGUGAAAUCUCGGAGCUUAACUCCGAAACUGCAUUCGAUACUGCCGUGCUUGAUGACUGGAGAGGAGACUGGAAUUUACGGUGUAGCGGUGAAAUGCGUAGAUAUCGUAAGGAAGACCAGUGGCGAAGGCGGGUCUCUGGACAGUUCCUGACGCUGAGGCACGAAGGUCAGGGGAGCAAACGGG